CAGCAGUAGCCGCGGUAAUACGUAGGGUGCGAGCGUUAAUCGGAAUUACUGGGCGUAAAGCGUGCGCAGGCGGUUGUGUAAGACAGGUGUGAAAUCCCCGGGCUCAACCUGGGAACUGCAUUUGAGACUGUAUGGCUAGAGUGUGUCAGAGGGGGGUAGAAUUCCACGUGUAGCAGUGAAAUGCGUAGAUAUGUGGAGGAAUACCGAUGGCGAAGGCAGCCCCCUGGGAUAACGCUGACGCUCAUGCACGAAAGCGUGGGGAGCAAACAGGAUUAGAUACCCCUGUAGUCCCUGUCUCUUAUAC
rnacentral:rRNA from 1 species